GACAGAGGUGCCAAGCGUUAGGCGGAAUCACUGGGCUUAAAGCGUGUGUAGGUGGAUUUGUAAGUACCUUGUGAAAUCCCAUGGCUCAACCAUGGAACUGCUCGGCAUACUGCGAAUCUUGAGCCACUUAGGGGCUACCGGAACAAAUGGUGGAGCGGUGAAAUGCGUAGAUAUCAUUUGGAACGCCAAUGGUGAAAACAGGUAGCUGGGAGUGUGCUGACACUGAGACACGAAAGCCAGGGGAGCGAACGGG
rnacentral:rRNA from 1 species